GUGCCAGCAGCCGCGGUAAUACGGAGGAUGCGAGCGUUAUCCGGAUUCAUUGGGUUUAAAGGGUGCGUAGGCGGUUUCUUAAGUCAGUGGUGAAAUCUUGCGGGUCAACCGUAGAACUGCCAUUGAUUCUGAGCAACUUGAAUACAAUUGAGGUAGGCGGAAUGAGUAGUGUAGCGGUGAAAUGCUUAGAUAUUACUCAGAACACCAAUUCAGAAGGCAGCUUACCAAACUGCUAUUGAUGUUGACGCACGAAAGCGUGGGGAGCGAACAGGUUUAGAUAACCUGGUAGUCCACGCAGUAAACGAUGUUCACUCGCUGUAUGCGAUACACAGUAAGCGGCCAAGCGAAAGUAUUAAGUGAACCACCUGGGGAGUACGUCGGCAACGGUGAAACUCAAAGGAAUUGACGGGGGCCCGCACAAGCGGAGGAACAUGUGGUUUAAUUCGAUGAUACGCGAGGAACCUUACCUGGGCUUAAAUGUAGAGUGCAUGUUGUGGAAACACACUUCCCUUCGGGGCUCUUUACGAGGUGCUGCAUGGUUGUCGUCAGCUCGUGCCGUGAGGUGUCGGGUUAAGUCCCAUAACGAGCGCAACCCCUACCGUUAGUUGCCAUCAGGUCAUGCUGGGGACUCUAGCGAGACUGCCACCGUAAGGUGAGAGGAAGGUGGGGAUGACGUCAAAUCAGCACGGCCCUUAUGUCCAGGGCUACACACGUGUUACAAUGGCAGAUACAGAGGGCAGCUACACCGCGAGGUGAUGCUAAUCUCUAAAGUCUGUCUCAGUUCGUAUCGGAGUCUGCAACUCGACUCCGUGAAGUUGGAUUCGCUAGUAAUCGUAGAUCAGCCAUGCUACGGUGAAUACGUUCCCGGGCCUUGUACACACCGCCCGUCAAACCAUGGAAGCUGGGGGGACCUGAAGUCUGUCACCGAAAGGAGCGGCCUAGGGUAAAACCGGUGACUGGGGUUAAGUCGUAACAAGGUAACCGU
rnacentral:rRNA from 1 species